GGCGAGCUCGCCGGGUGCGGGGCUGCGCGCCCCUCCCGAAGCAAGGCUGGAAGAGCACAGGUUUGGGGUGCAGGCAUAAGAAUUCCGCUUUUCAAGUCAUUCUUUGCUUUGUUACGCAGGCUACCAGGUGACAGGCGUUUUUAUGAAGAACUGGGACCCUCUGGAUGAACAAGGAGCUUGCUCCGUUGACAGAGAUUGCGAAGAUGCUUACCGGGUGUGUCAGAAGCUUGAUAUUCCUUUUCACCAGGUUUCCUACGUGAAAGAAUACUGGAAUGAAGUAUUCAGUGACCUCUUAAAAGAGUAUGAAUUGGGAAGGACUCCUAAUCCUGAUAUUGUGUGUAACAAGCACAUCAAAUUCAACUACUUUCUUCAUUAUGCUAUGGAUAACCUUGGAGCAGAUGCAAUUGCCACUGGGCAUUAUGCUAGGACCUCACUAGAGGAUGAGGAAGUGUUUCAACAGAAACAUAUUAAAAGACCACAAAGGCUUUUCAGAAACCGUUUUGAAGUUAGAAAUACUGUGAAACUCCUUCAAGGGGCUGACCUCUUUAAGGACCAGACGUUCUUUCUAAGUCAGAUCUCGCAGGAUGCUCUGAGGAAAACCAUUUUCCCUUUAGGGGAUUUAACAAAAAGUUUUGUAAAGAAGAUAGCAGCGGAACAUGGCCUUCAUCAUGUGCUAAAGAAAAAAGAGAGUAUGGGAGUCUGUUUCAUUGGUGAAAGAAACUUUGAAAAUUUCCUUCUUGAGUAUUUAGAACCUCAACCAGGUAACUUCGUUUCCAUUGAAGAUCAGAAGGUGAUGGGAACACACAAAGGUUGGUUCCUCUACACAAUAGGCCAGAGGGCUGGACUAGCAGGCCUGAAGGAUGCUUGGUUUGUUGUAGACAAAGAUGUCAGCACUGGAGAUGUCUUUGUGGCACCAUCAACAGAUCACCCUGCUCUGUACAGAGACCUAUUGCGGACAAACCGAGUGCACUGGAUAGCAGAGGAGCCUCCAGCAGAGCUUGUUAGAGAUAAAAUGAUGGAAUGUCAUUUCAGGUUUCGGCACCAGAUGGCACUGGUGCCUUGUGUGCUGACUCUAAACCAAGAUGGGAGUGUGUGGGUCACGCUAGUGAAGCCAGCAAGAGCUAUCACACCUGGGCAGAUUUUUUGCUGAGCCAAUAUAUUGGAAGAAUUGUCACUUGGUGGGUUUACUCCAGGCAGGGAUACAGCCGCACUGUCACUUCAGCACACCGAUGAGCCGGCUGAGAAGCAGCAGCUUUUUGGAGCCUAACUUCCAUUGGGGCUGGGCAGCAAUCACGGUACCAGUCAGGCCGGUGACAGCCCCAGCAGCAGGGCAAACUCCUGCUUUUUAUUUAGAGUUCAGGUCCUGCCUGUCCUCCAUCCCCUGCACCGUGCUGUGCAGGUCAUUCCCUUUCACCGUCAUUCUUAAACUUCAUCUCUUCAUCUCGCUCUUGAAUGGCUGGAGAAAAUUGAAACAUGGAAUGAAAUGUACUGAUUUUUCUCCAAGUCAAGGCCUGAUUUACUGCUGGAAACUUUUUCACUUCACUGGCUCCCAACCACAGCUGCUGCUCUUUUGUACUGGAUUCAGCGGGGUGUUCCUAACCUGAAGGGACCGCUUGGAAUGGAUCCAGAAAGGCCACAUUAGACCUGGGCAGGGGUUGAAGAAGAGCAAGAAGGAAUAAAGAGUAAAAGGUACGGCAGCGUUUCUGCGCAAGGAACAGUUACAGCGUUCCGAGCUGGUCAGGUGGAAAGAGACAACCCAGUGCUCUAGGACGCGGCCUGUCUUCCUCGUUGACCUGGAGAAGGUGGCUGAGAAACAACUGCUGACCGCCUCUCGUGGUGCAGGCAGCAAAGGUGUCCAUCGCAAGGGACAGGAAUGAAGCUGAAGACAAAAAGCUGGCAGACACAUGGAGGUCACUGCUGUGCCUCAUGAGAUGCAUGAACGAAGACUUGCACAACAGCCUGAGUACAGUGAGCAAGACCGCUGCUUGGCCCCAGUUGGCUUGAGAAAGCCAGGAAUGUGGCCAAGGAAGUCCAGAAAGGUCCUUCUCAUUGCAGGCUUUCAUGGGCUGGCCUGGGCUGGCUGCCUCACCCCCUCCAGCCCCUCUCCAAACCUUGUUUUCUAAACCCAGAUGCUUUCCUGGCAGCCCACUUUGCUCUGGGUUAGUAGAGGGUGUUUUUCUUCCACAAACUGUUUCCCAGGUGUGAGAAAUGCUGUGGGUUUGGACGGAAACACAAUGCAUGCGGUGGUACCCUGUGCCAGGAAAGGGCAUGGGUUUGGAAGG